AGAGUUUGAUCAUGGCUCAGAACGAACGCUGGCGGUAUGCCUAACACAUGCAAGUCGAACGCGAACGGAAUCUCCGGAUUCCAAGUAGAGUGGCGCACGGGUGAGUAACACGUGGAUAAUCUGCCCUAAGGUCAGGGAUAACACUUCGAAAGGGGUGCUAAUACCGGAUAAGCUCACGCCUUCCUCGGAAGAAGUGAGAAAAGAUUUAUUGCCUUAGGAUGAGUCCGCGGUCCAUUAGCUAGUUGGUGGGGUAAUGGCCUACCAAGGCUGCGAUGGAUAGCUGGUCUGAGAGGAUGAUCAGCCACACUGGAACUGAGACACGGUCCAGACUCCUACGGGAGGCAGCAGUGGGGAAUUUUGCGCAAUGGGGGAAACCCUGACGCAGCAAUACCGCGUGAAGGAUGAAGGCCCUUGGGUCGUAAACUUCUGUCAGAGGGGAAGAAAUACUCGCAAGAGUGCUGACGGUACCCUCAAAGGAAGCACCGGCUAACUCCGUGCCAGCAGCCGCGGUAAUACGGAGGGUGCAAGCGUUGUUCGGAAUUAUUGGGCGUAAAGAGCAUGUAGGCGGUCUGUUAAGUCUGGUGUGAAAGCCCGGGGCUCAACCCCCGGAAGUGCAUUGGAUACUGGCAGACUUGAGUAUGGGAGAGGGAAGUGGA
rnacentral:rRNA from 1 species